rnacentral:misc_RNA from 1 species
UUAAGUUCAGCGGGUAUUCCUACCUGAUCCGAGGUCAACCUUGUAAAAUAGAUAAAGGUGGCCGGCCCGGAGGGUCCUUUAAACUCAACGCGCGCUAACAAAAGCUCACUGCGAAGAGGGUCCCACGGACGCCGUCAUUGUCUUUGAGGCCCGUUGGUCGGAGGUGACCAACGCGGCCCAACACCAAAACAGGAGUUUUG